rnacentral:lncRNA from 1 species
GACAACACAAAAAACCUAAAACUUACAGCACAAAAACCCUAAAACAAAGAACUGUCCACAUAAUCAAAUUUGCUCCACUCGGUAAGAAAAUUUAGCAAAGAAGAACCGAUGCAACUCACCUACAGGCGCGGUGCUCGCCCGGCGCCGUCGGAACCGCUCCAGCACGCCGCGCAGCACCACAUCGAGGGUGUCCUCCAUGCCGUCGCCGAACCCAUCGGACGAUGACGCGUACACCAGCCGCGGGAUCAUCUUCACCACGCGCUCCUGCAUCCGUUGCACCCGCCGCUCACUGAGCCCCUUAAGAACAUAGGAGGAGGGAGGAGGUGCCGAGUGUGCACCGUGCCGUCGUAGGGAGGAGGGAGCCAGGAGCGAGAGGGAGGAAGAGUGGGAGAGUGGGUUAGGGAUUGCAUUAGGAGCAGACGCGGCAGCCCUCGGGGACUUGUGGGCUAGCGGCGGG